rnacentral:rRNA from 1 species
UCAUAUGCUUGUCUCAAAGAUUAAGCCAUGCAUGUCUAAGUAUAAGCAAUUAUACAGCGAAACUGCGAAUGGCUCAUUAUAUAAGUUAUCGUUUAUUUGAUAGUACCUUUCUACUUGGAUAACCGUGGUAAUUCUAGAGCUAAUACAUGCUAAAAAUCCCGACUUCGGAAGGGAUGUAUUUAUUAGAUUAAAAACCAAUGCCCUCUGGGCUCUCUGGUGAUUCAUAAUAACUUCUCGAAUCGCAUGGCCUUGCGCCGGCGAUGGUUCAUUCAAAUUUCUUCCCUAUCAACUUUCGAUGUUUGGGUAGUGGCCAAACAUGGUUGCAACGGGUAACGGAGGGUUAGGGCUCGACCCCGGAGAAGGAGCCUGAGAAACGGCUACUACAUCCAAGGAAGGCAGCAGGCGCGCAAAUUACCCAAUCCCGAUUCGGGGAGGUAGUGACAAUAAAUACUGAUACAGGGCUCUUUUGGGUCUUGUAAUUGGAAUGAGUACAAUUUAAAUCCCUUAACGAGGAACAAUUGGAGGGCAAGUCUGGUGCCAGCAGCCGCGGUAAUUCCAGCUCCAAUAGCGUAUAUUAAAGUUGUUGUGGUUAAAAAGCUCGUAGUUGAACCUUGGGCCUGGCUGGCCGGUCCGCCUCACCGCGUGUACUGGUCCGGCCGGGCCUUUCCCUCUGUGGAACCCCAUGCCCUUCACUGGGUGUGGCGGGGAAACAGGACUUUUACUUUGAAAAAAUUAGAGUGCUCCAGGCAGGCCUAUGCUCGAAUACAUUAGCAUGGAAUAAUGAAAUAGGACGUGCGGUUCUAUUUUGUUGGUUUCUAGGACCGCCGUAAUGAUUAAUAGGGACAGUCGGGGGCAUCAGUAUUCAAUUGUCAGAGGUGAAAUUCUUGGAUUUAUUGAAGACUAACUACUGCGAAAGCAUUUGCCAAGGAUGUUUUCAUUAAUCAGGAACGAAAGUUAGGGGAUCGAAGACGAUCAGAUACCGUCGUAGUCUUAACCAUAAACUAUGCCGACUAGGGAUCGGACGAUGUUAUUUUUUGACUCGUUCGGCACCUUACGAGAAAUCAAAGUGCUUGGGCUCCAGG